GACGAACGCUGGCGGCGUGCUUAACACAUGCAAGUCGAACGGUGAAGGGGCCUGCUUUUGUGGGCCCUGGAUGAGUGGCGAACGGGUGAGUAACACGUGAGUAACCUGCCCCCUUCUUCUGGAUAACCGCAUGAAAGUGUGUCUAAUACGUGAUAUUCUGGGUCUGUCGCAUGAUGGGUCUGGGAAAGAUUGCGCCUUUGGGUGUUUUUGGUGGGGGAUGGGCUCGCGGCCUAUCAGCUUGUUGGUGGGGUGAUGGCCUACCAAGGCGGUGACGGGUAGCCGGCCUGAGAGGGUGGACGGUCACACUGGGACUGAGACACGGCCCAGACUCCUACGGGAGGCAGCAGUGGGUAAUAUUGCACAAUGGGCGCAAGCCUGAUGCAGCGACGCCGCGUGAGGGAUGGAGGCCUUCGGGUUGUAAACCUCUUUCGCCAGUGAAGCAGGCCUGCUCCGUGUGGGUGGGUUGACGGUAGCUGGAUAAGAAGCGCCGGCUAACUACGUG
rnacentral:rRNA from 1 species